ACAUCGGAAUCUACCUUUUCGUGGGGGAUAACGUAGGGAAACUUACGCUAAUACCGCAUACGACNUUCGGGUGAAAGCAGGGGACCUUCGGCCCUUGCGCGGAUAGAUGAGCCGAUGUCGGAUUAGCUAGUUGGCGGGGUAAAGGCCCACCAAGGCGACGAUCCGUAGCUGGUCUGAGAGGAUGAUCAGCCACACUGGAACUGAGACACGGUCCAGACUCCUACGGGAGGCAGCAGUGGGGAAUAUUGGACAAUGGGCGCAAGCCUGAUCCAGCCAUACCGCGUGGGUGAAGAAGGCCUUCGGGUUGUAAAGCCCUUUUGUUGGGAAAGAAAAGCAGUCGGUUAAUACCCGGUUGUUCUGACGGUACCCAAAGAAU
rnacentral:rRNA from 1 species